UUCUACCCUAAGCCGUCCCUCUGAAGCAGGAACACCAUCUUUACCCUGGGCAACCGUGGUGCUGUCAUCUCACCGGCCGAGCUGGAUGCCCCGAUCCUGGUGUCCCAUACUGCCCAGCGUGGAGAGCAGAGGUAUCCGUUUGAAGCGCUCUUCUGCAGCCAGCAUUAUGCCCUCCUCGACAAAUCUUGCCUGAAUAUCUUUUUAUCUGUAAAUUUUUCGUGAUGUCUGGCCCGGCUGCACACAACCUGUUCCACGGUGUCAUGAUGUUCUCCAUGACACAGAAACACCUGGAGUCCUACCUGGCUGACUGCUACGACGCCAUUGCUGUUUUUCUCUGUAUCCACAUUGUUCUCCGGUUCCGCAACAUUGCAGCGAAGAGGGACGUCCCUGACCUGGACAGG
rnacentral:lncRNA from 1 species